GACGAACGCUGGCGGCGUGCUUAACACAUGCAAGUCGAACGGAAGGGCCCUGCUUUUGUGGGGUGCUCGAGUGGCGAACGGGUGAGUAACACGUGAGUAACCUGCCCUUGACUUUGGGAUAACUUCAGGAAGCUGGGGCUAAUACCGGAUAGGAGCUCCUGCUGCAUGGUGGGGGUUGGAAAGUUUCGGCGGUUGGGGAUGGACUCGCGGCUUAUCAGCUUGUUGGUGGGGUAGUGGCUUACCAAGGCUUUGACGGGUAGCCGGCCUGAGAGGGUGACCGGCCACAUUGGGACUGAGAUACGGCCCAGACUCCUACGGGAGGCAGCAGUGGGGAAUAUUGCACAAUGGGCGGAAGCCUGAUGCAGCAACGCCGCGUGCGGGAUGACGGCCUUCGGGUUGUAAACCGCUUUCGCCUAUGACGAAGCGUGAGUGACGGUAAUGGGUAAAGAAGCACCGGCUAACUACGUG
rnacentral:rRNA from 1 species